GUGCAGAUUUGAUCAUUAACUCUGCAUAAUGUUUUAGAAGUGAGGGGAACCAGGUUUACUGAAGUAAUUGUAGUGAUAGAAUUGUAUUAGCCGUAGGAGCUACUGAGGUAUCCAUUCUAGCUUAGUACAGAA